rnacentral:rRNA from 1 species
UGGGGAAUAUUGCACAAUGGGCGCAAGCCUGAUGCAGCCAUGCCGCGUGUAUGAAGAAGGCCUUCGGGUUGUAAAGUACUUUCAGCGGGGAGGAAGGGAGUAAAGUUAAUGCCUUUGCUCAUUGACGUUACCCGCAGCAGAAGCCCCGGCUAACACCGUGCCAGCAGCCGCGGUAAUACGGAGGGUGCAAUCGUUAAUCGGAAUUACUGGGCGUAAAGCGAACGCAGGCGGUUUGUUAAGUCAGAUGUGAAAUCGACGGGCUCAACCUGGGAACUGCAUCUGAUACUGGCAAGCUUGAGUCUCGUAGAGGGGGGUAGAAUUCCAGGUGUAGCGGUGAAAUGCGUAGAGAUCGGGAGGAAUACCGGUGGCGAAGGCGGCCCCCUGGACGAAAACUGACGCUCAGGUGCGAAAGCGUGGGGAGCAAACAGG